AGGUGAACCUGCGGANGGAUCAUUG
rnacentral:rRNA from 1 species